CUUGCUCUUAUGAUUAGUGGCGCACGGGUGAGUAAUAUAUAGAUAACGUACCUCUUAGUCUGGGAUAGCCAUUGGAAACGAUGAUUAAUACCGGAUACUCCUUCUGGCUUCAAUGUCAGUCGGGAAAGUUUUUCGCUAAGAGAUCGGUCUAUAUCCUAUCAGUUAGUUGGUGAGGUAAUGGCUCACCAAGGCAAUGACAGGUAGCGGGUUUGAGAGGAUGAUCCGCCACACUGGUACUGAGACACGGACCAGACUCC
rnacentral:rRNA from 1 species